rnacentral:piRNA from 2 species
UGGGAUUCUAGGUCAAUAGGCAGCAAACA